rnacentral:rRNA from 1 species
UCGUUCCGUAGGUGAACCUGCGGAAGGAUCAUUA